rnacentral:rRNA from 1 species
UACGGAGGGUGCAAGCGUUAUCCGGAUUCACUGGGUUUAAAGGGUGCGUAGGAGGGCAGGUAAGUCAGUGGUGAAAUCUCCAAGCUUAACUUGGAACUGCCGUUGAUACUAUCUGUCUUGAAUAUUGUGGAGGUGAGCGGGAAUAUGUCAUGUAGCGGUGAAAUGCUUAGAUAUGACAUAGAACACCAAUUGCGAAGGCAGCUCACUACACAAUCAUUGACUCUGAGGCACGAAAGCGUGGGGAUCAAACAGG